CAGGACGAACGCUGGCGGCGUGCCUAAUACAUGCAAGUCGAGCGAAUGAUAAGGAGCUUGCUCCUUGAUUAGCGGCGGACGGGUGAGUAACACGUGGGUAACCUACCCUAUAGACUGGGAUAACUUCGGGAAACCGGAGCUAAUACCGGAUAAUACUUCGAAACACAUGUUUUGAAGUUGAAAGAUGGUUUCGGCUAUCACUAUAGGAUGGACCCGCGGCGCAUUAGCUAGUUGGUGGGGUAAUGGCUCACCAAGGCAACGAUGCGUAGCCGACCUGAGAGGGUGAUCGGCCACACUGGGACUGAGACACGGCCCAGACUCCUACGGGAGGCAGCAGUAGGGAAUCUUCCACAAUGGACGAAAGUCUGAUGGAGCAACGCCGCGUGAGUGAAGAAGGAUUUCGGUUCGUAAAACUCUGUUGCAAGGGAAGAACAAGUAGCGUAGUAACUGGCGCUACCUUGACGGUACCUUGUUAGAAAGCCACGGCUAACUACGUGCCAGCAGCGGC
rnacentral:rRNA from 1 species